rnacentral:rRNA from 1 species
GAAGAGAAAGGACUAUCCCAGAGCAGGAUGAAGCGAAAGUAAAAUUUCGGGGAGGUCCGAACCCACGAGCGUUGAAAAGCUCGGGGAUGACGUGUGGGUAGCGGUGAAAUUCCAAUCGAGCCCGGAGAUAGCUGGUUCUCCCCGAAAUAGCUUUAGGGCUAGCC